rnacentral:rRNA from 1 species
CCUACGGGUGGCAGCAGUGGGGGAUAUUGCACAAUGGGGGAAACCCUGAUGCAGCGACGCCGCGUGUGGGAAGACGGUCCUCUGGAUUGUAAACCACUGUCCCCAGGGACGAAGAUGACGGUACCUGGGGAUGAAGCUCCGGCUAACUACGUGCCAGCAGCCGCGGUAAUACGUAGGGAGCAAGCGUUGUCCGGAAUUACUGGGUGUAAAGGGAGCGUAGGCGGGAUGGCAAGUUGGGUGUUAAAUCUACCGGCGAAACUGGGAGUCGCACUCAAAACUGCUAUUCUUGAGUGAAGUAGAGGCAGGCGGAAUGCCUAGUGUAGCGGUGAAAUGCGUAGAUAUUAGGAGGAACACCAGUGGCGAAGGCGGCCUGCUGGGCUUUUACUGACGCUGAGGCUCGAAAGUGUGGGGAGCAAACAGGAUUAGAUACCCGGGUAGUC